CCUACGGGAGGCAGCAGUAGGGAAUAUUGCUCAAUGGGGGAAACCCUGAAGCAGCAACGCCGCGUGGAGGAUGAAGGUUUUCGGAUUGUAAACUCCCUUUGUUAGAGAAGAUAAUGACGGUAUCUAACGAAUAAGCACCGGCUAACUCCGUGCCAGCAGCCGCGGUAAUACGGAGGGUGCAAGCGUUACUCGGAAUCACUGGGCGUAAAGAGCGUGUAGGCGGGAUAGCAAGUCAGAUGUGAAAUCCUAGGGCUUAACCAUAGAACUGCAUUUGAAACUGUUAUUCUAGAGUAUGGGAGAGGUAGGUGGAAUUCUUGGUGUAGGGGUAAAAUCCGUAGAGAUCAAGAAGAAUACUCAUUGCGAAGGCAACCUGCUAGAACAUAACUGACGCUGAUGCGCGAAAGCGUGGGGAGCAAACAGGAUUAGAUACCCGUGUAGUC
rnacentral:rRNA from 1 species